rnacentral:rRNA from 1 species
AGAGAUGCACUGGGUGUAAAGCGUGCGCAGGCGGUUUUGUAAGACAGAGGUGAAAUCCCCGGGCUCAACCUGGGAACUGCCUUUGUGACUGCAAGGCUGGAGUGCGGCAGAGGGGGAUGGAAUUCCGCGUGUAGCAGUGAAAUGCGUAGAUAUGCGGAGGAACACCGAUGGCGAAGGCAAUCCCCCUGGGCCUGCACUGACGCUCAUGCACGAAAGCGUGGGGAGCAAACA